CACAGUGAAAUAAAAUUUCUAAAAGUAAGUAGUACAUGUAAUUAUAAUGAAAGUACGGAAGUGAAUUAGUGACACACAAACUUUUAUUUUAUAUUUGUCGCUAUUUAUAGCAUAAACUUAAACUUUUCAUAACCUUGCUCUUUAAUGUUAUAUAUACAACGCUAGGAUUUCCAUGACCAAAAUGGACCAAAAAAGCAGCAUAAUUUAAACUUUUAGUAUUUCAUUGUCAUAACAAACUACAUCAUUUGUUCAAAAUUAUAUUAUAAAGAAUUUGUGAGAAACAAAACUGUUUUUAAAAAUUAAAUUCCCUAUGUUUUCAAGACAUCAAUAUAAAUACAUAUGAUAAAAUUGAGAAUGGAAAUGGGGAAUGUGCCAAAGAGACAACAACCCGACCAUAGAAAAAAAACAACAGCAGAAGGUCACCAUCGAUGCUUAUAUUAAUUUUCAUUGUGUGAAAUGAAAAAUGUAAAAUAACAAAAAUACCGAACUCAGAGGAAUAUUUUAAACUGAAAAACACAAAAGCUCAAAAUCAUCGAAUUAAUGGACAACAACUGUCCUAUUUCUGACUUGGUACAGGCAUUUUCUUAUGUAAUGAAUGGUGGAUUAAACCUGGUUAUAAAGCUAGCUAAACCUCUCACUUGUAUGACAGUCGCAUAAAAUUCCAUUAUAUUGACAACGAAGUGUGAAGAAAAACAUACAUCAGACAUAAAAGACAGAUAUAAAAGACACAAAAAAGACAUUAAAAAGGAAAUUUUAUUUUUAGCUUAUAGGUUAGACGUAGUGUGAAAACAAAAAUGAUUUUUUUGGUAGCCGCCUUUUUACUCGCUGUCUGCUUUGCAGGUAAGUUAAGAUAAAUAUUAGACUGGAAUGUUAAAUUCCAUGACAUUUUCUGCUCGAUUAAAAUACAUGAAACCAAACCAUAUUAUCAAAAUUGCGAAACAUUUAUGGGUUAGCUAUAGAUUCUCUUUAUUUCCUCCAUUAUACUGAAUAUUUUCAUUUUCAAACACAAGUAGUUCUUACAGAUAAUCUCUGACUUUCAAAUCAUAUUAACCAAUACCUCCGUGCCAAUUUUGGUGCCAAUGACAUCAGUUUCUGAUUUAAUCUUUCCUGGGAUCAAAUGUGGAGAAAAAAAAAUUCUGGGAACAUAUAGUUAAUAACAUGCCCUUGCAACAUAUUUUGGUUAAACUUCCGUUUGGAACGUAGAUGGAAUAACCUUCAUUUGGAAUAAAUUUCGGAUCAUAUAAAUGGUUCUAAUCCGUUUACCUAAAUUAAAAGCAUGUUUAGGUUGAAAUUUUCUUUAUACUAUUUUUUUUGUAUUUUCUCUAAUAAUCUAUAAUUCUGAUGAAUGUGCUUAUGUUGGUUAGCACAGUUAAACAAGAGAGCAACUCUCAAUACAACCAGACUAUAUACACUUCCACAGUGAUCUUUACAAAGAAGCAAUACGUUUACUAUCAGAGGACAUAUUUGAAAGGUAGCAAUCAGAUAUCUGUCGUGUCUGGAUUGUUGCUUUCCAAAUUGUGACGGCAAAAAUAAUGUUAAAGAGAGACGAAAGAUACCAGAGGGACAGGCAACCUCAUAAAUCGAAAACAAAACUAACAACGCCAUGGCUAAAAAUGAAAUACACAAACAGACUAACAAAAGUACACAACAUAUAAAACUAAAGAACUGUGUUCAUGAUUUAUUUUACCUUUAUCCAGCGUGUCUGCAUGGUGACACGUAUAGUACACAAAGGAAUGAUAUCAUACGUAAUUUAGUAAUACUAGUUCGACACCGCUGCUGGAUGAUGGUUAUUUUAACGAUCACAACACAUUGAAGGCUAAUGGUUAAAUUUUAGAAAUUGUGACUUGGAUGGAUGGUUGUCUCAUUGGCACUCAUACCACAUUUCCGUUAUCUACAUUAUUCAACACUUUAGAAAUCGGUUUUCUUAUCUAAAACUUCAUAUUUUGAACUUCGAAUUUUAAAUCUAAUAUGUUCUGUCUGGAAUUUAAUUUCGCAAGGACAAUAAGUAUUACUUUGCGCAAUAUGGUAUAUCUGGUACAAAUGUAUGUAAUUGUUUAGCCAUUCGUCAUUCUAUAAUUCGCUAUUGUAAAUUUUUGUGUGCGGUAUAUUUAAAAGCGUACAUCAAAACCUCGAGACGGGUUCGCAAUAAUGCAUUGUUAUAUACAGUCAGUUGCGAAAUCUAGGUCAAACUGGUUUGGCCUAUAUUUAAAAGUUCAAUCGCUUAAUGAAUAUGCUUAUUAAACUUUAUAUUAAUGUUACUUCAACUUCAUGGUGAAAACACCUAUCCUGAGAUUUGACAAACGGACGGCACACAAACCGGAAAAAGGAAUGCCUUAUACAUGUACUAUCGAAAGCGAGGCUUGAAAACAGUUACAUGUACAAUGUACAUUUGUUUUUCAUAAACUGUCUUAUAGAAUUUAUGCCGUAAGUUUUCUCCGACUGUAUUGUGUCUAGCGGUAAAUCAAAUGCAUAUUUAGGACGAGAACGUGUUUAUAAUGCGAUAGGUAUAUAUGUAACAGUAAAUUUGGUCCGGUAGUAAAAUCUGUCCGCCAGACUUUUUUCCCUAGGAAAUCAAGUCCAUGAUCAUUAUUUUACUAGGAAUGUAAGUCCCAGGACAAUUUUCCCUAGGAAAAUAAGUCCAUAGGUAGUAAAAUAUGUCUGGCACAUAUUUUCCUAGAAAAAAUUGUCCUAAUAUGUUAUACUAGUAUUUUUUAUUAUUCUAUAACAAUUAUUGAAAAUUAAAACAGAAUCAUAUUUUUAGUUAAGAUUUGAAAGUUUCAUUAUUUUUUCCCAUUUAAAAUAAAGAAAGGUGACUUUGUAACCUAGGAAUGUUAAUGACAUGGACACGAUGUCCUAGGAAAAUAAGUCUGGGGACAUAUUUUAUUAAAAUAUAAUACACUAUAUAAUAUAAAAACCUCUAUAGGGACUCUAUAACUGAAUAUUGAAACAUAACAUUUAUAUUGAUAUUUUAAAAUAAAGGGCAUGGACAAUUUUACCUAGGAAUGUUAUUGACAUGGACACGAUUUUCUAAGAAAAUAAGUCUGGGGACAUAUUCAUAUACAACUGUAAAACUGAAUAUUGAAACAUGAAAUUUUUAUUAAUCUUUUGAAAAAAAAAAGUCUGACAUUUUACCUAGGCAGUAGCAAUAUUAUUAACAUGGACAUGAUUUCCUAGGAAAAUUAGUCCGGGGACAUUCAUGUCAUUAAAUUUUUAAUGCCCGAGCUCUUGAUCCGAACAAUAUAUUAAAACAUCAAAAUUGCAUUUCCAUGUAAAUAAUUUGUUUCAUUAAAACAUUCCUUUUUAAAAUGAAGGACAUGGACAAUUUUACCUAGGAAUAUUAAUGACAUGGACAAAAUUUCCUAGGAAAAUUAGUCUGGGAACAUUAACUUUAUUAAAAGAAUUGAUACACAACUCUAUAUAACAAUAUCAAAAUAUUACAUUUUUAUUUACAUUACAAAAUAAAGGGCAUGGACGAUUUUACCUAGGAAUAUUAAUGACAUGGACAUGAUUCCCUAGGAAAAUUAGUCUGGGGACAUACAUUUUAUUAAAAAUAUAAAUAAACAACUCUAAUAAGUUUCCAUUGUUAAAGUUAAAUGAUUUGAUUCAUUAAUAUUUUUCUUAUAUAGAGGACAUGGACGCUCAGAGCAUGGACGUUUUUACCUAGGAAUAUAUAUUAAUGACAUGGACUAGUACUCCUAGGAAAAUUAGUCUGGGAACAUAAAUUACUAACAUCGGACAAAAAAUACUAGUAAAUUUUGUAACCAUGGACUUUUUCUACUAGUUAUAUGUGUCCGCCCAGACAUAUUUUACCAGGACAAAUUUAUCUCUUACAUAUACACCCUGCUUUUUGUAUUCUGUACAUGUAGACCGAUCGACAAGCUGAGUCAUACUUUAAAGUUUAAACUGAGUAAUAUCUCACAAUAUAAAACCUGCAAAAGAAUAUAUAUCUCCCUACCCGGACACAUUACUGUUCUGACUUUUAGUCACGUGUUUAAUGGAGAAAUACCAACAACGCAUGCUCAUACACUUUAAACAUCUACUAGGAACAAUAUACACCAAUAUCCAUGCAAUGAUUCCAAUUUAUUACUAUCAUAAGGACGAUACUUUGGAUAAAAUUAAUAAGUGGUAUUCUUUUUUAACAUUUUUUUAUAAUUUUGCUUUGAUUGCAGGUGAGAGUGCCGCGACAUACAAUACAGGUCACUGUGACAAGUUGGUAAAUCUCUAUCCACAUGUGUGCAAUUAUAGGAAUUGCCACAAUGCAUGUGCUGCCCGGUAUUGCAAUGGACCACAUACAUGCCAAGGCAGGUACAAAUGUUGCUGUACAUGUACUGGAACCCAUCCUCCCCAUCGUGGUUAAUACCAGCAUAGGCUAAUACGCAUGAAAGUUUAUUCAACACUAAUGUGUUAUGAACAUAUCAAGUGAAACUGUAAUAAAAUAUCAACAAAA
rnacentral:lncRNA from 1 species